UAGCGAAGAAGGGAAAAGCAACUCGUC
rnacentral:piRNA from 1 species